rnacentral:rRNA from 1 species
CCUACGGGAGGCAGCAGUGGGGGAUAUUGCACAAUGGGGGGAACCCUGAUGCAGCGACGCCGCGUGGGUGAAGGAGUAUUUCGGUAUGUAAAGCCCUAUCGGCAGGGAAGAAAUUGGACGGUACCUGACUAAGAAGCCCCGGCUAACUACGUGCCAGGAGCCGCGGUAAUACGUAGGGGGCAAGCGUUAUCCGGAUUCACUGGGUGUAAAGGGAGCGUAGACGGCCAUGCAAGCCAGGGGUGAAAGCCCGGGGCCCAACCCCGGGACUGCCCUUGAAACUGCAUGGCUGGAGUGCGGGAGGGGCAGGCGGAAUUCCUGGUGUAGCGGUGAAAUGCGUAGAUAUCAGGAGGAACACCGACGGCGAAGGCGGCCUGCUGGACCGCGACUGACGUUGAGGCUCGAAAGCGUGGGGAGCGAACAGGAUUAGAUACCCUAGUAGUC